CCGUAGAUCACCCUGGAGCACUCCCGUAGCCAAACAGAGGAGAGCAGCACCGGAACGCAGGCAGACAGCGUGUAAGGAAGCACUGACCCUUCAUACACUGGGGGGCUUAAAAGUAUACAAUCCCAAGUGCAGAAUAAAAACUAGGGGAUGGGAUCUGGGGGCGUGAGGUCGGGAGGAAGAGCCUUUUCCUUAAACACUGAGGGGCCCUCUUCUCCAAGACAGAAGAGAUGGGAUGAAAAACAAACACAAGUAAACAUACUGAGCUUGAGACAUUUUAAAAGAGAAAAGGAGAAAAUUGGGGGAGUGAAUGCCAUCAAGCUUCUCAUUAGAGAAGGAGUCGAGGAUAAAUCCUGGAAGCCCGGAGCUGAGGCCGGAUUAGGGGGAGGAGGAGAUUAAUGAGGUCAGGAGCAGCCGGCUUCCUAAUGGGCCUGAGCUGGGAUCUGGACCGCGCAGGUGACACUGGCGAGGGCCCCUGGAGGGGCUGCUUGGGGCGCAAAGGCCCAUGAUUCCCAAGUGCUACUGGAAGGAUGGGAUUAGAAGAAACGGGCUUAGAAAAGCACCCUAGCAAGGAAUCCAUGUACAGCAGAACGGACUCUAGAGGAGCUGGUUCAGCAAAGCUGUGGCCGGCUCCUCCUCACAGUCAAACAGCAUUUAUAAAAGCAUUUAUAACGACACAUAGAUCAGCAUUAUGUUUAACAGAAUACCUAAUGCUACAAGAGUCAUUCUCUGAUCGGACCAGGGAAAGGAUGUCGGCUCUCACUAUUCAACAUAGUCCUGGACGUUCUGGAGAGUGCAAUAAAGCAGGAAAGGAACGAAAAGGCAUUCACACAGGAAAAGAAAAACAAAACUGUCUCUAUUUGCAGGUGACAUGGUUGUUACUUAAAAAAUCCCAAGGAAUGUACCCAAAACUCCUAGAACUAAUAACUGAGUUUGGCAAUGCCACAGGAUGCCAUCAAAUAGACAUAUGAAAAUCAACUAAUUCUAUAUGCUAACUUUGAACUUGUGGACCCUGAAAUUAGAAAUAUUCCAUUUACAAUCACU